UAUACAAUUGUUUAAAGUACAGAUGAAAUUUGGUAACCCUACAUUUUCGGUAAUGUUACAAUACCCCUAUCCCAUAACUGUUAAGACUAUCAAGAGUCAACUGUAUUUCAAUGUUGGUUACCUGGGGUCGAUGCAGGCUAUUGAUUGUUGAAUUGUUUGAAGCAAAAUGUUAUUGUUGAAUUGGUUGAAGUGAGAUGUUGAUUGUUGAAUUGGUUGAAGCAAGAUGUUGAUUGUUGAAUUUGUAAAAUUGAAGCACUCCACUGUUAAGGAACAUCAAAUAGUUUUAGGAACUGUUGUUUUUUUUUAAACUUUCCAAAAUACCAUGAACACAUUUUGUUUAGUAAACAUGUUUGAAUUUGGUAAAACAUUUCAUAAAGUCUUUAUCCUUUCAAAAAAAAAAUGGAUUAAAAGUAAUUAUAAAAUAUAACUUUUUUUUCUAUUAUCAGCCAUGAAAUUGAUGUUUAAAUUAGCCACAGUAAGCUGCACCUUUUUUAUACAAUGAUAAAAUGUCAGAAAAGACAUUUUCUAGUAUUUAUCAUUUAAUUUCAAUCUUUGUUGACCAAAAGAUUAGAUAUCUAAACAGUAACAUAAAACUCAACAACAAAAAGAAAUAACUUUCACAUUGAAACUUUGGGACCAUUAUUACUACGUUUUUGUUUCAAAUGUUACUGGGUUUUUAUUUGUUUUAUUGUGUUUUGAAGCAUUCGGUUUACCCUUAACUAUUAUUGCUUUUGUUUUCUUUUUUUGUCCAUUUUUUUUUUUUUAGUUUAAAAAAACAAUUUCUGCUUUGAAAAGUCCCAGAUUUUUGCAUUACAAGUAACAAUUUUAUAAUUGUUUGAGUUGGAAGUAUGUAAAAAUAAUGCAAUGUAUAAAAAGUCACCCAUUCAUGUACUGGUGACAAAAAUACUGCUUUAUGAAUCUCUUUGUUUUAUUCUAUUAAUGCUGGUUGGAAAAAAAAAUGUUAACUAGUAUUAUUUAACACAUUUUGAUUUCUCUCAACAUUGUUGACAUUGCAAGAUUUUGUUGGAUGAUAUUACAUGAGGGAUUCUAUUCCUAUAAUUGUAUGAUAAUUGAAAUGUCAAAUUGUUGGUCACUAAUUCUACAUGUUUGGAAAUAUUUUUUUAAAGUAUUUAGUAACAGCUAUUAAUUUGCAGACACUUGUACAGUGGUAAGAUAUUUUCAUAUAAAACAUCUUGUUUUAAGGCAAAAAAAAAUUUAAUCUAAGUACUGGAAUAUUUUGUUCACAAAUGAUGGUAAUAACAACACACGUUUUGUAAACAUUUUUGUCUCUUAGGCUAAUUCUACUCAAUCUUAUUCAAAUUGUUGAUAUCAUUUUACUUUGUAUUCUAAUGAAUUCUUUAUAUUCAAUUUACUUAGACCCUCUAUGUAUUCUUGUUUCCAGUUUCUUCCAAGUGCAUAUAGUUAAUGUUCUAUGUUCUUAGAAAGAGGUUAUACUGAUGUACAGAAAGAAUGUUUUAAUUUGUUGUUUCAAUAAAAGUCUAGUUAACUAA
rnacentral:sRNA from 1 species